UACAGAGGGGGCAAGCGUUGUUCGGAAUUACUGGGCGUAAAGGGCGCGUAGGCGGCCUGCUAAGUCGAACGUGAAAUCCCCGGGCUCAACCCGGGAACUGCGUCCGAUACUGGCAGGCUUGAAUCCGGGAGAGGGAUGUGGAAUUCCAGGUGUAGCGGUGAAAUGCGUAGAUAUCUGGAGGAAUACCGGUGGCGAAGGCGGCAUCCUGGACCAUUACUGACGCUGAGGCGCGAAAGCAUGGGUAGCAAACAGG
rnacentral:rRNA from 1 species